rnacentral:rRNA from 1 species
GUGCCAGCCGCCGCGGUAAUACGUAGGGGGCAAGCGUUGUCCGGAUUUAUUGGGCGUAAAGAGCUCGUAGGCGGCUCGGUAAGUCGGAUGUGAAACCUCCAGGCUCAACCUGGAGACGCCAUCUGAUACUGCCGUGGCUUGAGUCCGGUAGAGGAGCAGGGAAUUCCUGGUGUAGCGGUGAAAUGCGCAGAUAUCAGGAGGAACACCAGCGGCGAAGGCGCUGCUCUGGGCCGGUACUGACGCUGAGGAGCGAAAGCGUGGGGAGCGAACAGGAUUAGAUACCCUGGUAGUCC